GCAACAUGGAGGAGGAAGUAGAGUUCACUUCAUUUCAGGUGCUUAAUUCUUAGCAAAUACAGGCGAAAUUGUUUUGACAAGACAUGUCUUUUGCGGCCGGAGUUAAAAAUCCUUUCAAAUUUGGAUGAAUGACAUUAGGCCUCGUACCAGAGAAAACUCCUAUAAUUAUUGUAUUCUGUGCUCGUACGUAGUACAAGUUGAUGUUGGUGUUACAUGGAAAUAUCAAAAUUCAUCUUUUAAAUACAAGAAUUGCCUUCGGUCUUCUCUCUUUUCGAAGUUGAUCGAUAUUAUUUAUUUAUUUUGAGAUCUCACAACACCAAUUUUGAGAUCUUUAGGUUAUAUUUCCCAAGUCUUUUUUAGUAUCAGUAUUCUGUACUUUCUUUGAUAUCGUAGCAAGAGACAUAAGUAUUAUACUUUCCAUUACAACUAAUAUACAUGUGGGAAACUGAUCAUAAUAUUCGAGAAUACUUUGCAUCAUGUAGGUUUCUCUUUUUAUUCUCAGAUUGUAGACAUCGAAGGCUCGAUAUUCUUAAGAAUACAGAACGAUUUUCAAUAUUAAAGCAUGGAACAAAGUUUUUUCUCAGGAAUACUUCAUUCAUAAUCGGUCCGAUUAUUCAAUUAUGCAUAAAAUAUAAUUUGUUUGAUUUGAAUUUCCAACUUUGUCUUGAAGUUGAAUGAGCUUAGAGUUGAUAGUUCAAGUAAUCUCUGGUUUUCUACUUCAUCAGUAAAUGCACAAAACGCUACUUUUUUGGCUUAUCUUUGUAAUCAAUCUUGAUUACCAGCUUAAAAUUUAAAAAUAUUUUUAUAUUUAAUAUUAUGCUCAUAUGAUCGAUUUUUUGUCUUGUGAUUUAGAUACUGUAGCCGAUUGAGCUAUAGACAAACUGUAAAGCUCAUCUUAUUAGUGAAUAAAGGUAUAUGAAAGGGAUCAUAGAACAUGAAAAGGAUCUUGACUCUUGAACUUUGAAAUAAUUAACACAGAUCACCAGACUACAUUGCCCUCGCUUUUUUCUUUUUGGUCGUCAGGGUUUAUCACCCUGCACACCGCCCUUUCCAUACCUUCCAACACCUCUACAUCAACCAUUCUUUCCUUAUGUUUUCGACUGCAUGCUUUGCCCACAAUAUCAGUACCGUUCGGUUCUCUCCUUUUGUAAUGGCAGGCCAUUGUCCACUGUCCACUCCCUGUUCAACAACCACUCCUUCUCUGUCUAACAUCACUCACUCUCUCACAUACUUCCUCCCUUAUUUUCACUACACGUUGUCGAAAUCAAAGCGUUUUGCCGCGUUUUUGGAUUUUGGUCUACUCAUCUACGGUACUCUAGUCUCUGUGUUUCAGUCGAAAAGGAUGCAACAACAUGCACCACAUUUCGCAUGUAAGUGAAAAGUUCCAGUUCUCUUUACAGUGCUUCAGUCGUUUAUUAGUUUUAAAAUAAUGUGAAUAUUUGAUCUUCUAUCAAAAAAUGGAAAUGUUUGCGAUUGGCAAUGUAUGGAGAAUGAUUAUAAUGAUGCUACAGAGUAAUACGGUAUGGAAAAAAGAGAUGAGCAAAAAAGUGGAAGCAUACAUUAAUUAUUCAUAAUGCAUAUCUCAGCAACAACAAAGAAUUUAAUUGCUAGAAGAAAACUCAGGACACAUUGGAUCAAAUGUGAAUAAAACUUUCAAAGGUGUCUGCCAAAGAAAUUUCUAAAAUAUGGUCAAUGAGUCUGUCAUUGAAGAAGAAGUUAACGAUUGGCUCCUGCAACCAAAAUUUAGAAGAGCGCGCAGACAUGGAGAAAAGAAGAAACAUCUCGCUGUAUGCUGAAGUCGAUGAAGACGAGACAGUAGAGGAUUUUGGAGCUUCAGCCAUGAAGUGCAAGCACAGUGUCUAAACACUUUUUGAGCCUGAUCAUAAUUUUAUAUUAAGAAAAUUUAAUUCCAAUCCAGUAAUAUACUGUAUAAGAUGUGAAUGCGUUCAAGUAAAGGAUUUAUUAAUUAA